UAACAGUGUCUUCAAAUACCUCUUAAAACUGCAGUCUUUGCCAAUGACCCUACACCACGGAUUCCCAUGAAACACCGGAGCACCUAUCUGUUUCAUUCCCUGACAGGCCACAAUGGAUUGGCAGCCUUAUUUCUUCUGAGAAGCACAAAAGCCACAUUGGCUCAAAACAGCUUUUGGUUUUCUGACCCCUAUGGUACCCACUGGGUUUGCUUCACUGGUCAGCAAUUGACAGUUAGACUCAUUUGAGCCUUCAUCCAGCAGCUGAUGGAAGUUGAAGCAGAUACCCACAGCUAAACCUGAACUGAACUGGAAUCCAGUUGAAGAGAAGGAGGAGUGAGAGCAAAGAGUCAAGACCAGGCUGUUGAAACCCACAGAAAUACCGGACCUUAAUAAGGGAGAGAACUUGGCCCCCAGACUGAUCACUGGGAAACCAGCUUUGAACUCAUCCAGAUCCCAUGAAUGUAGGUGUCAGUGAGGAGGUCUCAGAAAUCUACGGGGCCUCUUGUGAUAGAUGAGUACUUAUCCCUAGCAUAGGAAUGGACUUUGGGAGCCCAUUUCACAUAGACGGAUACUGGCUCAGCCUACACACAUGGAGAAGGGCCUUGGCCAUAUGCCGAAGGAUAUGACAGAUAGGGAGGACGCUCCCAUGAAAUAUCUCACUUUUCCUCACUAUCCCUGAAAUGGCAUGGGAUAGGUACGGUUUUAGUCGGGGACUGUGUAGGAGGAGAAGGAGAAGGAACUGGGAUUGACAUGUAAAACAAUAUUGUUUUUAUUUAAAUUAGAAAAUGGAGGGGAAACAGAAAAGAAAAAGAAAUAAAAUUUAUGUUCACAUAAAUAUCUGUAAAAAAAACAACUUCAUUAUUUAUAAAAUAACUCUUGAGUUGAUGGAGUAGAUGGAAACAGGCUGGGGGAUGAGGGCAAUUGUAAAAAGACACACCUAGACUCUUAGGAAGGUGAUGACUGAAUUUUUAAACCUUAGUUUCUAUGGAAUUUUCUUACUG
rnacentral:lncRNA from 1 species